UACGUAGGGUGCAAGCGUUGUCCGGAUUUAUUGGGCGUAAAGAGCUCGUAGGCGGUUAGUCACGUCGGAUGUGAAAUCCCAGAGCUUAACUCUGGGCCUGCAUUCGAUACGGGCUGACUAGAGUGUUGUAGGGGAGACUGGAACUCCUGGUGUAGCGGUGAAAUGCGCAGAUAUCAGGAAGAACACCGGUGGCGAAGGCGGGUCUCUGGGCAGUAACUGACGCUGAGGAGCGAAAGCGUGGGGAGCGAACAGG
rnacentral:rRNA from 1 species